rnacentral:ncRNA from 1 species
CUAAAGUUUGAAUCUGGCUUAAGCUCUAUUAUAAAUUAAAUCUAUAUAUAAUUAAGAAGUUUUGAAAAGAUAUGUCCUUUAGUAGAUAAUUUUAGGAAACAUGCAAUAUGGGCCUAGUUAAAUUUAUAAGAUUGACUAAAAUCGUGCCAGCCGUCGCGGUUAGACGAAGAAUCUGAAUGGAGCUAUAGAUUGGUUUAACUAACAGUAAAUAUUUAACAGUUAUAUUUUAUUCUUUUUUUGGGUGAAAUUUUUAUAAAGAUAACAAAUCUCUUAAUAAUAUUUAAUGGAAUUAAAAAACGAGGGUUAAAAACCAGGAUUAGAUACCCUGUUAUUCCUUGCAACUCAAUGAUAGGGUAGUAAAAGUUUAUUCUUCAAACCCAAAGAUUUUGGCGGCAUUUUAACCAAACAGAGGAGCUUGUCUUGUAAUCGAUAACCCCCGCUGUACCUUACCUUUCCUAGUCCAGUUUGUAUACCUCCGUUGUCAGAUUACUCCCUUAAGGAUGUUUUCUACAAAAAUUAUUUUUUUACUUCAGGUCAAGGUGCAGCUCAUGUGAAGGUAACGAUGAGCUACAAUUCUCUUAAGAAUCACGGAAGAUUGAUUUAAAAUUCAACUGAAGGUGGAUUUGUUAGUAAGUCAGCUUAAGGAAAGCUGACUGAAUAAGGCAAUAGAAUGUGUACAUAUCGCCCGUCACUCUCCUUCUAAAAGGAGAUAAGUCGUAACAAAGUAGAUGUACUGGAAAGUGUAUCUAGAAUGUG